GUGUGUAUGUGCGUGUGUGUGUGUGUACGUGCGUGUGAGGAAGUUACAGUUUAAUGUUGGUUAGUCUCAAUUGUCGACGACGAGGCUUUGCGGCUGAUUGAUGCCAGAGUAGUUGUUGUUGCCAGCUACUUUGGACAAACAAAUCUUGCAACAUGAGCUGGAGAAACAAUUGAGAUUUUGUAUUGGAAAAAAGCUACAAAAACUAGCAACGGACAGCAGCAACUGACAGCGGGCAGCUCGCAGAACUUGUGAUUAUUUCAAAACGGAAACGGAAGUCGAAAGAGCAGCAGGAGCCGGGAGUAGAAAGACAAAGAAGAAUACGAAGAAGAAGAAGCAGAGGCAGAAGCAACAGCGUAAGCAGAUAGUCGCCAGACGACAGUUGAAAACAAUGCAAAUUAAAAUACAAUAAAAUGUAAAACACGGCAGCAACAGCAACAGCAACAGCAAC